rnacentral:rRNA from 1 species
AACGAACGCUGGCGGCAUGCCUAACACAUGCAAGUCGAACGAGACCUUCGGGUCUAGUGGCGCACGGGUGCGUAACGCGUGGGAACCUGCCCUUAGGUUCGGAAUAACUCCCCGAAAGGGGUGCUAAUACCGGAUAAUGUCUUCGGACCAAAGAUUUAUCGCCUUUGGAUGGGCCCGCGUUGGAUUAGCUAGUUGGUAGGGUAAAAGCCUACCAAGGCGACGAUCCAUAGCUGGUCUGAGAGGAUGAUCAGCCACACUGGGACUGAGACACGGCCCAGACUACUACGGGAGGCAGCAGUGGGGAAUAUUGGACAAUGGGCGAAAGCCUGAGCCAGCAAUGCCGCGUGAGUGAUGAAGGCCUUAGGGGUGUAAAGCUCUUUUACCCGGGAUGAUAAUGACAGUACCGGGAGAAUAAGCUCCGGCUAACUCCG